CCUACGGGUGGCAGCAGUGGGGAAUAUUGCACAAUGGGGGAAACCCUGAUGCAUCUCCGCCGCUCCCCUUCCUCCUUCUUUCUUUCCUUCCCUCUCUCUCCUCCUUUAAGAAAAUGACGGUACCUGACUAAGAAGCCCCGGCUAACUACGUGCCAGCAGCCGCGGUAAUACGUAGGGGGCAAGCGUUAUCCGGAUUUACUGGGUGUAAAGGGAGCGUAGACGGCAGCGCAAGUCUGGAGUGAAAUCCCAUGGCUUAACCAUGGAACUGCUUUGGAAACUGUGCAGCUAGAGUGCAGGAGAGGUAAGCGGAAUUCCUGGUGUAGCGGUGAAAUGCGUAGAGAUUAGGAGGAACACCAGUGGCGAAGGCGGCUUACUGGACUGUAACUGACGUUGAGGCUCGAAAGCGUGGGGAGCAAACAGGAUUAGAUAACAUUGUAGUC
rnacentral:rRNA from 1 species